rnacentral:tRNA from 1 species
UUUAAGUAGCUUAAAUUUAGAGCAUAGUAUUGAAGAUACUAGUGUGGUGUUUACCCUUAAAUAU